AUUGAACGCUGGCGGCAGGCCUAACACAUGCAAGUCGAGCGGAUGAAGCGAGCUUGCUCCUGGAUUCAGCGGCGGACGGGUGAGUAAUGCCUAGGAAUCUGCCUGGUAGUGGGGGAUAACGUCCGGAAACGGGCGCUAAUACCGCAUACGUCCUGAGGGAGAAAGUGGGGGAUCUUCGGACCUCACGCUAUCAGAUGAGCCUAGGUCGGAUUAGCUAGUUGGUGGGGUAAAGGCCUACCAAGGCGACGAUCCGUAACUGGUCUGAGAGGAUGAUCAGUCACACUGGAACUGAGACACGGUCCAGACUCCUACGGGAGGCAGCAGUGGGGAAUAUUGGACAAUGGGCGAAAGCCUGAUCCAGCCAUGCCGCGUGUGUGAAGAAGGUCUUCGGAUUGUAAAGCACUUUAAGCUGGGAGGAAGGGCAGUAAGUUAAUACCUUGCUGUUUUGACGUUACCAACAGAAUAAGCACCGGCUAACUUCGUG
rnacentral:rRNA from 1 species